rnacentral:rRNA from 1 species
UUUUAUGGAGAGUUUGAUCCUGGCUCAGGAUGAACGCUGGCGGCGUGCCUAAUACAUGCAAGUCGAGCGAACAGAUAAGGAGCUUGCUCCUUUGACGUUAGCGGCGGACGGGUGAGUAACACGUGGGUAACCUACCUAUAAGACUGGAAUAACUCCGGGAAACCGGGGCUAAUGCCGGAUAACAUUUAGAAC